AAGUCUCAAAAGCUUAGCAGGACAUCGUGUUCUGUUCCCUGACGCCCCUUCCCUUCUACCUCACGGCCGCCGCUGCUCUGGACUGAAGCUCGCCUCCUCGCCUUCCCCCGCAUCGGGUCCUAGCCCAGAGGCUUGGUGGCAAGCCGCCUUUUAAGUCGGCUCAUCAGCGGCCAACGGCGGCGGCGUUCUCCCCCGACCCCGCUACCGGCCGGUAUCGGGUUGGCGUGAAGUGGAGAUCCAUCCGGAAAAUUGCCGAAUUGGGAUCGAUCUCUUCUGUUGGUUCAUCUUCUCCUCCAGCGCGCGAGUUCGAUCCACCUGGCGCAAGGUGCUGGUGCCGAUGGAGCACGCUAAGUCCGGCCCCGGCAGUUGGCCGGAGAUGGCCGACGUGGUACCAGUGCCGCAGGACGAUGGGCCCAGCCCCGUGGUCCCCAUCGCCUACCGCGACGACUUCCGCGAGGUCAUGGACUACUUCCGCGCCCUCUACUUCGCGGGAGAGCGCAGUCCCCGUGCCCUCCGCCUCACCGCCGAGGCCAUCGAGCUCAACCCCGGCAACUAUACCGUCUGGCAUUUCAGGCGCCUUAUCCUGGAGACACUAGAUUAUGAUUUACUGCAAGAGAUGAAUUUUGUCGAAAAAAUUGCUGAAUGUAAUCCAAAAAAUUACCAAAUCUGGUUUUUCGUAAACAACUGGCAAUUUCUGGACUUGCAUAAUUUUAACUUUAUCUAUCUUUCAUUGCUGUGAAAAUUAUGACUAACCCUGCAGGGUCCAUUUAUUAUUUUCAGGCAUCAUAAGAGAUGGCUUGCUGAGAAAUUAGGACCUGAUGUUGCGAAUAAAGAGCAUGAAUUCACAAUGAAGAUACUUGCUCUUGAUGCCAAAAAUUACCAUGCUUGGUCUCAUAGGCAGUGGGUUCUUCAAGCACUGGGUGGGUGGGAGAGUGAAUUGCAGUACUGCAACAAACUACUUGAGGAAGAUAUCUUCAAUAAUUCAGCUUGGAAUCAGAGAUAUCUUGUAAUAACAAGAUCACCACUUCAUGGUGGCCUUAUGGCGAUGCGUGAUUCAGAAGUAGAUUAUACAAUUGAAGCUAUUCUAGCAAAUCCUCAGAAUGAAAGCCCUUGGAGGUACCUCAAGGGUCUAUACAAAGGCGAGAAUAACUUGCUAGUAGCCGACGAGCGCAUAUCUGAUGUUUGCCUCAAGGUCUUGAAGAAUGAUUGGAGUUGUGUGUUUGCUUUGAGCUUGUUGCUUGAUCUUCUUCGCUCAGGUUUGCAGCCUUCGGAUGAACUUAAAGCCACCCUUGAACCAAUAAGGCACUCCAACCCAGAAAUGGCAGAUGCUGAUCUUGCGACAGCAGUUUGCUGUACCCUUCAGAAAUGUGAUCCCCUCCGGGUAAAUUAUUGGUCUUGGUACAAAACCACCCUUUCUUCUCAGAUCUCAUAACAUUACAUGGGCUCACAGCUUGUUACCCUCGUUGUACUGGACUCUGAGGUAGACAUGAUUUAGGUGCCUUGGGUUAAAGAUGGUUUCACUGGAUCUACAUGAUGCAAAGCCAACCAGGGCGGACUGUGUACUGGAUUAAGCUUGGCAGAAUUUAUCAAUGUUAUUGUUCCAAAAUACACUUGCGGCAACAAAUGUUACCUCAUACAAGUAAGCUUGAAUACAUUGCAAUUGUCAUGCAAGCCUACAUGAGGGCAUGUUUUGUGUUUUA